CCUACGGGAGGCAGCAGUGGGGAAUAUUGCACAAUGGGGGAAACCCUGAAGCAGCGACGCCGCGUGAGUGAAGAAGUAAUUCGUUAUGUAAAGCUCUAUCAGCAGGGAAGAAAAUGACGGUACCUGAGUAAGAAGCACCGGCUAACUACGUGCCAGCAGCCGCGGUUAUACGUCGGGGGCAAGCGUUAUCCGGAUUUACUGGGUGUAAAGGGAGCGUAGACGGCACUGGAAGUCUGGAGUGAAAGGCGGGGGCGCAACCCCCGGACUGCUGUUGAAACUGUACGGCUGGAGUGCAGGAGAGGUAAGUGGAAUUCCUAGUGUAGCGGUGAAAUGCGUAGAGAUUAGGAGGAACACCAGUGGCGAAGGCGGCUUACUGGACUGGAACUGACGUUGAGGCUCGAAAGCGUGGGGAGCAAACAGGAUUAGAUACCCCAGUAGUC
rnacentral:rRNA from 1 species